rnacentral:rRNA from 1 species
UACGUAGGGUGCGAGCGUUAAUCGGAAUUACUGGGCGUAAAGCGUGCGCAGGCGGUUCGUUGUGUCGGCGGUGAAAGCCCCGGGCUCAACCUGGGAAUGGCCGUUGAAACUGGCGAACUGGAGUGUGGCAGAGGGGGGUGGAAUUCCGCGUGUAGCAGUGAAAUGCGUAGGGAUGCGGAGGAACACCGAUGGUGAAGGCAGCCCCCUGGGCUAACACUGACGCUCAGGCACGAAAGCGUGGGGAGCAAACAGG